GUGAAGAAUGACUGACCACAGUUUCAAUUAAAUGCUAAAUGCCAAUAUAAUACUUAAACAAAUAAGUAACAAACUGGAAGCAAUUACAAACAGGCAGUUUUUCCUACUAUCUCUUUUAAUAAUGCAAAAAACCCCAUUUCUUUCACUUGCAACUUUCAAAGUAUUGCAGACAGAAUCCUGGUCAGCAAAUCCACCCCAAGAGACCUGAAGCACUAAGUACCUUCUGAUAUUCUUCUCUAGACACAUAAGCAGAGGUGAAGAGAAAAAGUAAGACUGGGCAAUGUCAUCACUCAGGAUGACAGCAGGAGAGAAAAGAGGACUUUCCCUAUAUUUCAGCUGCUAUAUCUUCUAAAGGU